GGUCCCAUAGCCAAGUGGUAAGGCAAUGGUCUGCAACACCUUGAUCGUUGGUUCAAAUCCGACUGGGACCUCCA
rnacentral:tRNA from 1 species